UACGGAGGGUGCAAGCGUUACUCGGAAUUACUGGGCGUAAAGCGCACGCAGGCGGUCUGUUAAGUCAGAUGUGAAAUCCCCGGGCUUAACCUGGGAACUGCAUUUGAAACUGGCAGGCUUGAGUCUUGUAGAGGGGGGUAGAAUUCCAGGUGUAGCGGUGAAAUGCGUAGAGAUCUGGAGGAAUACCGGUGGCGAAGGCGGCCCCCUGGACAAAGACUGACGCUCAGGUGCGAAAGCGUGGGGAGCAAACAGG
rnacentral:rRNA from 1 species